AUGGAAAGAAAAGAUUCUAUCGGUUCAAGGAUUCUGUUAAAAUCAGUGGCACGAGCAAUUCCAUCUUAUGCUAUGUAUGUGCUCAAGUUUCCUAAAGGAAUAUGUAAAUCAAUCACUGAUGAUAUGUCGAGGUUUUGGUAGGGAGAUGAAGAAGAGAAGAAGAAAAUGCACUGUUUUGCAUAGUGGAAGAUGUGUGUUCUGAAGAAGAAAGGUGGUAUGGGGUUUAGAGACCUUCACGGGUUUAAGUUUGCUAUGUUAGCAAAGUAGUGUUGUCGACUUAUCCAAAAUCCCGACUCUUUGUGUGCACGAGUGUUGAGUGCUAAAUAUUAUCCUAAUGGUGAUAUCCUAAAGGCAGGACCAAAGAAAGGGUCAUCAAUUAUGUGGCAAAGCAUUGUAGCUGGAAUUCAGACCUUCAGAAGGGGUUGUAUAUGGCGAGUGGGCUCUGGUUCACACAUAAACAUUUAG
rnacentral:rRNA from 1 species